CAGCAGCCGCGGUAAUACAGAGGAUGCAAGCGUUAUCCGGAAUGAUUGGGCGUAAAGCGUCUGUAGGCGGCUUGGUAAGUUAGAGGUGAAAGCCCAGGGCUCAACCCUGGAAUUGCCUUUAAGACUGCAGAGCUAGCAGGUGAGAGAGGUGAGUGGAAUUCCGAGUGUAGAGGUGAAAUUCGUAGAUAUCGGAAGGAACACCUGUGGCGAAAGCGGCCCACUGGACAAUAACUGACGCUGAUGCACGAAAGCUAGGGGAGCAAACAGGAUUAGAUACCCCGGUAGUCCCUGUCUCUUAUAC
rnacentral:rRNA from 1 species